AAAUUGAAGAGUUUGAUCAUGGCUCAGAUUGAACGCUGGCGGCAGGCCUAACACAUGCAAGUCGAACGGUAACAGGAAGCAGCUUGCUGCUUCGCUGACGAGUGGCGGACGGGUGAGUAAUGUCUGGGAAGCUGCCUGAUGGAGGGGGAUAACUACUGGAAACGGUGGCUAAUACCGCAUAACGUCGCAAGACCAAAGAGGGGGACCUUCGGGCCUCUUGCCAUCAGAUGUGCCCAGAUGGGAUUAGCUAGUUGGUGAGGUAACGGCUCACCAAGGCGACGAUCCCUAGCUGGUCUGAGAGGAUGACCAGCCACACUGGAACUGAGACACGGUCCAGACUCCUACGGGAGGCAGCAGUGGGGAAUAUUGCACAAUGGGCGCAAGCCUGAUGCAGCCAUGCCGCGUGUAUGAAGAAGGCCUUAGGGUUGUAAAGUACUUUCAGCGGGGAGGAAGGUGUUGUGGUUAAUAACCGCAGCAAUUGACGUUACCCGCAGAAGAAGCACCGGCUAACUCCGUGCCAGCAGCCGCGGUAAUACGGAGGGUGCAAGCGUUAAUCGGAAUUACUGGGCGUAAAGCGCACGCAGGCGGUCUGUCAAGUCGGAUGUGAAAUCCCCGGGCUCAACCUGGGAACUGCAUUCGAAACUGGCAGGCUUGAGUCUUGUAGAGGGGGGUAGAAUUCCAGGUGUAGCGGUGAAAUGCGUAGAGAUCUGGAGGAAUACCGGUGGCGAAGGCGGCCCCCUGGACAAAGACUGACGCUCAGGUGCGAAAGCGUGGGGAGCAAACAGGAUUAGAUACCCUGGUAGUCCACGCCGUAAACGAUGUCUACUUGGAGGUUGUGCCCUUGAGGCGUGGCUUCCGGAGCUAACGCGUUAAGUAGACCGCCUGGGGAGUACGGCCGCAAGGUUAAAACUCAAAUGAAUUGACGGGGGCCCGCACAAGCGGUGGAGCAUGUGGUUUAAUUCGAUGCAACGCGAAGAACCUUACCUGGUCUUGACAUCCACAGAAGAAUCCAGAGAUGGAUUUGUGCCUUCGGGAACUGUGAGACAGGUGCUGCAUGGCUGUCGUCAGCUCGUGUUGUGAAAUGUUGGGUUAAGUCCCGCAACGAGCGCAACCCUUAUCCUUUGUUGCCAGCGGUCCGGCCGGGAACUCAAAGGAGACUGCCAGUGAUAAACUGGAGGAAGGUGGGGAUGACGUCAAGUCAUCAUGGCCCUUACGACCAGGGCUACACACGUGCUACAAUGGCGCAUACAAAGAGAAGCGACCUCGCGAGAGCAAGCGGACCUCAUAAAGUGCGUCGUAGUCCGGAUUGGAGUCUGCAACUCGACUCCAUGAAGUCGGAAUCGCUAGUAAUCGUGGAUCAGAAUGCCACGGUGAAUACGUUCCCGGGCCUUGUACACACCGCCCGUCACACCAUGGGAGUGGGUUGCAAAAGAAGUAGGUAGCUUAACCUUCGGGAGGGCGCUUACCACUUUGUGAUUCAUGACUGGGGUGAAGUCGUAACAAGGUAACCGUAGGGGAACCUGCGGUUGGAUCACCUCCUUACCUUAAAGAA
rnacentral:rRNA from 1 species